rnacentral:rRNA from 1 species
CCUACGGGGGGCAGCAGUGGGGAAUAUUGGACAAUGGGCGAAAGCCUGAUCCAGCCAUGCCGCGUGUGUGAAGAAGGCCUUCGGGUUGUAAAGCACUUUCAGUGGGGAAGAAAGCCUUGGGGCUAAUACCCUCGAGGAAGGACAUCACCCACAGAAGAAGCACCGGCUAACUCCGUGCCAGCAGCCGCGGUAAUACGGAGGGUGCGAGCGUUAAUCGGAAUUACUGGGCGUAAAGCGCGCGUAGGCGGUCUGAUAAGCCGGUUGUGAAAGCCCCGGGCUCAACCUGGGAACGGCAUCCGGAACUGUCAGGCUAGAGUGCAGGAGAGGAAGGUAGAAUUCCCGGUGUAGCGGUGAAAUGCGUAGAGAUCGGGAGGAAUACCAGUGGCGAAGGCGGCCUUCUGGACUGACACUGACGCUGAGGUGCGAAAGCGUGGGUAGCAAACAGGAUUAGCUACCCUUGUAGUC